AGCAGCAAACGGAGCCGAAAUACAGCAGCAAACCAAACGAACUGAGCUUGAACUGAUGACUUCAACGGAGUAGAACUUUUCAUAUAUAAAUAAACAACUUCCAAACCAAACUUUAGUACAGCAAUAACGAAAACUUGGAGCCGAUCUGAAUCGAGGACUCAACAAACGACCUUAACACAGACUCACAAAUUCGAAUCCACAUUCAGAACUUACAUAGCUGCGUUUCGGGUUUAGUUUAGAUCGUUAGAAAUGUGAAAGAUACACUGCUGGUGAGUAUCUUAGUCAUGAUGCAUGUGUCUCUAUAGUUAACCAAUUUUGCUCAUUUUCUAGAACUAAAGUUAAACACAUGUUUCAAAUGCAUCGCAUCAGUUAAUAUCUAUUCAUGAAAUCAAGCAAUUCCAAUUAUGUAACUCAUAACAUUUUCACAUAAGCAGCGAAUAAAACUGGAAACAAAACCCAGACAAACAGAUCAAACAUAUACAACGAUUUCAGGUCUAAAAAUCAGAACAAUAUGAAGCACGGAUAGAAGAAAUGAAACUUGACGCAAUUAACCGGAUCAGAACCACAACGCCAAUGGCAGACUAUCUUCAAUAUAUCAACCGAUAAUAAUUCGAACCAAACUUUGUACAACAGCCGUAACCAUUGAGCUAGCCGACCAGAAAAAUCCCUAACGUAUUGGGCAUAAAAAAAUGAAAUCCAAAACCAAACAGAGCUCAGUAUAGCAACAACAACAAACGAGCAACAAACAACCACCAAAUUCGAGCUUCAAACAGCCUCAUAUAGAUCCAGGGAACGGAAUUUGCACUUUGAAAAAUUAUCCAACCAAACACUUCUCCCCCUCUAAUUCGAAUUACUUUCUAUCUAUUUUAUUUGUAUUUGCGAUUUUUCCUUUAGCUCCCUCAAUCGCUGGUGAGUGUGACGAUGAACCCAAAAAAAUGAGAGAGGAAAAGUUUGUUCCCCCUCUAUGUUUCUGAAAAAAAUAAAGAAGAAGAAGAAGUCCAGAUCGAAAAAUGGGGAGUUCCCCCACUUUUGGCGUGGCGUGUUUUUGUAGAGGGGAGGGUCUGUCGAUUAUUGCCUCUCUUCUUCAGAGUAAGGGGAGCUCUUUUUAUCUCCUUCAGAAGAAGAAAGUUAAGAAGGGGUCACGUAUUUCGCGUGUCCCU
rnacentral:lncRNA from 1 species